AUGCUUCUAAGACCUGAAACGGUGGGUUCAGUCUUGCGCCCAGGAACCUCCCACAUCCGCCCUCGUGCUGACCAUGUGCCUCCGCGCUCGGGGCCCCGCCUGCAAGGUCAGGCCUGUCUGGUCUCCGGCGCCGGCCCCCCGUGUCCCGUGAGCCCCGGCGCCCCUCCCCACGGCGCCACCCGUCGUCAGGUUGACCAGAUUUCCUUCUCUCCCAGAUUAGCUCUAAGGCUUCGAAGUUACCUUUGGCGCCAUCACAUCUUUUCUGUGUCCAUGAAGAGAAGACGGUCCCGCGUGGCGCUGUGUGACCUCACGAUGCCGCUGACCCCAGGACCCUUGAGGUCCCUGACCCUUGCUGCCAUGGCCUGCCCAACAGAGCCCCCCACCCCGCCCCCGGGGCCCCAGUAGGGGCUCGAACCCCUGGCGCGGGGAGGCCGUCACCCCGGGCCCGUCCAGAGCGCCCGCUCCCCCGGCGCACGGCGCGCCUCUUCCCUGGCGGGCGGUUAUUACUGUCCUGCCGCGUGACAUCAUAAUAGGCUGCUGUCCCGGAACACAAAAGCCCUCGGAGACGGUGAGGAGACACGUCCUAUUUAUGCCGUCACCGACGAGACAGCAGUGGGGACGGGGGGAGAGUCAACAUCUGUACCCCGGGAAUAACAAUGACCUUGUUCUCUCUUCUAUCUCUGAAGUCUGCUUAAAUCACGCCCUGCGUGCGCGCGGGCAAGAGUGGAUUCCUACAAACCCAGGGAAAUGCCCCGCAGGGCUCCGGAGUCUGCUCCUGCCUCAGGUCCUCUCAGGGACCCUGGACGGGGCGUCAAGACCCCACGAGGACCAGACGCAGGAUGUUGGGGACAGCUCGAGCCCCCCCCGCCCGGAGACCAACGAGGGGCACCGCGCAAACCAGGAUGUGCCAGGAUGUGCCAGGAUCACACAGCCCCAGGCUGGGGUCUCUGCACGCUUGAUAUUUUCACCACAAUUUUGAACAAAAUAAACCUAAGGGUUGCUUUACUCCCACAAAACACGAAGAGGCCACACAGAGGAAUAAACCAGGGAGCUCAGCCCGACGCCGCUCGCCGGGCCUGCCCUGCCCCUGGCGGUGUCCCGCGCUGGGUGCCCGCAGGCCCUCCCCGGGGUGACGGCAUUGCUUCCCGCUGAAGACGGCGCUUCUCAUUCCGCCCGAAGAAGCAACCUGCACCGCGCAGGGGAUUUCUCUGACCAAGAAAGAGAAACAAAAGGAGCAGCGGGCGGGGGCGGCACCGGGGGCUCAGCCUGUGACCGGCGACCGCGCCCUGUCCCAGCAGGUGCCACCCGGGGUGCUGGGGACGCCCAGAGUCAUGGGAGCCGAGGGGCCCCGGACCCGAGCCUGCCGGAGGCCGCCGGGCAAUGCCCACGAGUGCUGAGUGGCGACCCCCGCUUAAAGAUGCACCUGGUACUUAGGCCUAAUUUAUUCUCUUUAUUAAAAAUGAUAUCAAACAAUAUUUCAUUCUGCCCUGGGACCCCUGGGUGGCUUAGCGGUUUGGCGCCUGCCUUUGGCCCAGGGCGCGAUCCUGGAGACCCGGGAUCGGGUCCCACGUCGGGCUCCCGGUGCAUGGAGCCUGCUUCUCCCUCUGCCUGGGUCUCUGCCUCUCUCUCUCCUUGUGUGUCUCGUGUAUAAAUAAAUAAAAUCUUUUAAAAUAUAUAUAUAUAUAUUUCAUUCUGCCCUUUGGUGGAGACAAAAGAUUCAUGAG
rnacentral:lncRNA from 1 species